UCCUCCGUGGCGCAAUUGGCUAGCGCGUCUGACUGUUAGAUCUUAGGAUUUCGGCGAUCAGGAGGUUCGUGGUUCGAGCCCACGCGGGGGAG
rnacentral:tRNA from 1 species